GGGGCCGAAAGGUAUCGACAGCAGGUGAGGUUGAUAUGUAAGCAUGCCGAGCGUUGUGAAUAUGGCUCGUAAAUCUCAACUCUCAAUCGUCUAACUGGCGAAAACAAUUACGCGCUUGCGGCUUAAUUCUGAUCUAAUCAGGAUUGCCUGAUUCAGGUCACCAGGUGAUCUGAACAAGCUACCCGGUCAUUGGUUCGGCUCAUUAAUCUCUGACAAUGGGUAUCACUCUUUUGAGCUGGUUGUGCUAUCGCUUCGGUAGCACAAUAAGAAAAAGGAGCUAAGGUUGGUUUGGGUGUGCAUUUCUCCACAAGCUAACUCGAAAAUCUAAAUAAUGCUAAGCAUGUAGAAAGCGUAGCAGUCCCUUGUCUGGACGAGGGUUCAAAUCCCUCCGGCUCCACAG
rnacentral:tmRNA from 1 species